GAUGAAGAACGUAGCGAAAUGCGAUAAGUAAUGUGAAUUGCAGAAUUCAGUGAAUCAUCGAAUCUUUGAACGCACAUUGCGCCCAUUAGUAUUCUAGUGGGCAUGCCUGUUCGAGCGUCAUUAAGUCCACUUAAGCCCUGCUUAGUGUUGGGAGACUGCUCCAGCGGUGCUACCCUGUAGCUACCCUGCAGCUCCUCAAAGACAGCGGCGGAGUUGUGGUAUCCUCUGAGCUUAGUAACUUGUUCUAGCUUUCGAGUACACCAUUUCCCCUGCCGUAAAACCCUUAAUUUUUAAUGGUUGACCUCGGAUCAGGUAGGAAUACCCGCUGAACUUAAGCAUAUCAAUAAGCGGAGGA
rnacentral:misc_RNA from 1 species